AACGAACGUUGGCGGCGUGGAUUAGGCAUGCAAGUCGAACGCGAAAGGGUAGCAAUACCCGAGUAAAGUGCGAACGGGUGAGUAACGCGUAGGAAACCUGCCUUCGAGUGGGGGAUAACAUUCCUAACGGGGUGCUAAUACCGCGAUGAAACUGCGGGAUCGCAUGGUUCUGCAGUCAAAGGUGGCCUCUAUUUAUAAGCUACCGCUCAAAGAUGGUCCUGCGUCCCAUUAGCUAGUUGGCGGGGAACGGCCACCAAGGCAUCGAUGGGUAGCCGAUCUGAGAGGAUGACCGGCCACACUGGGACUGAGAUACGGCCCAGAC
rnacentral:rRNA from 1 species